rnacentral:tRNA from 1 species
CCUUCGAUAGCUCAGUUGGUAGAGCGGUGGACUGUAGAAGAUAACGUGUGUUGAAAGAGAAAUCCAUAGGUCGCUGGUUCAAAUCCGGCUCGAAGGA